GACGAACCGAGCGAACGUUGUUCGGAAUCACUGGGCUUAAAGGGCGCGUAGGCGGGCUGCCGCGUCCGGGGUGAAAUCCCACGGCUCAACCGUGGAACGGCCCCGGGUACGGGCGGCCUCGAGGGGGGUAGGGGCGUGCGGAACUGUGGGUGGAGCGGUGAAAUGCGUUGAGAUCCACAGGAACUCCGGUGGCGAAGGCGGCACGCUGGACCCCUUCUGACGCUGAGGCGCGACAGCGUGGGGAGCAAACAGG
rnacentral:rRNA from 1 species